AGAUUAUUGAUUAAAUUAUGGAUCAAUGAAGUAGAGAGUAUCUUCAAUGAUCCAUAAUUUAAUCAAUAAUCUGAGAAGGGCGAAAAAAUAGAAGCAUCUAAUGUCAAACCUAGAUGCUGUUCAAGACUUCCAAAAUCUGCUUUUACAUAACCAGAUUACCCUAAAUCCAUUGGGACUGUAACACCCGCCUGAAAAACAUCAUCCUCAAAACUCACAUUCCAGUGAAGGCCUUCUUG
rnacentral:misc_RNA from 1 species